AUACGGAGGAUGCGAGCGUUAUCCGGAUUCAGUUGGGUUUAAAGGGUGCGUAGGCGGACUAUUAAGUCAGUGGUGAAAUCCUGCAGCAUAACUGCAGAACUGCCAUUGAUACUGAUAGCCUUGAGUUUGGUUAAGGUAGGCGGAAUGUGUAAUGUAGCGGUGAAAUGCUUAGAUAUUACACAGAACACCAAUUGCGUAGGCAGCUUACUGAGCCGACACUGACGCUGAGGCACGAAAGCGUGGGGAUC
rnacentral:rRNA from 1 species